rnacentral:lncRNA from 1 species
AUGGCCAGGGAGGCCGUCCCUGAACUCUUUGCCUGUCAUGUUACUACCACUGAGACCAUUCAAGCUUACUCUGCCUGCUCUGUCAUAGCCAGGUGGCCUCUCCAUGUCUCUGCUCCACCAUGGCCUCCAGACCUGUGGUGGUCUUCUGCUUUGCAGGCUUUACCUUGGUCACGUGCUCCGCUCUGGUCGCCUGCUCCACCGGCUCCUCCGUGGUGGUCAUCUGCUUGCCGCCUGCCCUGGUGGUCUUCAGCUCUGCUCUGGCUUCCAGACCUGCUAUUGCUCCACGGCCCAGGUCCUCCACUGCUCCAUUGCCAGGUCCACCAUGAUUCCAUGAUGCAGGUCUACCACUGCACCACGAACCUCUGCUCCACAGUCUAGACCUGCUAUUGCUCCACGGCCCAGCACUGCCACCCUUAGAGGGAGGAAUAUGUGACGUGGGCUUUGGGUUUUGUUUCAUGUUCAUUCUUUUCAUAUCUUUUAUUUUGUUUCGUUUUUUUCAUAGUCAUGGUUCCCGUCUUGUCAUGUGUUUCCCUUGCCCUCAUGUGAUCCUGCUAUUGGUCCCUUUGUUCUAUGUGUCAUGUUCUGAUUGGUUGUCUAGUUCCCAUUGUCCGUUGUCUAGCUUUGUUCAUGUAAUCCACUGUUUGGUGAGUUUGUUCAUGUUUUUGCCAAGCCGAUUGUUGUUCAUUGUGUUUUUGCUCUCUUUUGAAUUGUAUUAAACUUCACAUGGGUUCUCAUUCAACUUGCCUUCAGUGGACAUUCUAUAUAAUUAUACAUCAUAAUAUUUGUUGUAUUGUCUUUAUACUGAUUUAAAAACAAAUGCAUUACAAAAAAGAAUUGUCUGGAUGCAUUACAGUAAUGAGGAUUAUGGGGCAAAUUGGUAUUAAAAUUAUGUUAUGCAAUGCAACCCUUAAUGGUCAACAGGCUUCAUGUCAUUUUAUAUAAAUGUUUCUUUUGGUUCUAGGAUGAAAUAUGACCUCGACACGUGUUUUUUAAAAAAAAAAAAUUUGUAUUAUCGUACCACUGUUUAGUCAGACUGACUUUAAUGUAUCUUGCAGAGCUACUUAACACAGAGUGACUCUUCAUGCUCACUAAUUAUGGUUACAGAAAGAGGUUGUUGUUGGGCAAGAACUACUGGAAACCCCUGACCUCUAUCAGGGGAGGUGCCUCCAAAAGAGAAAGAAGGAAAUACAGUACAGUGACGUGCUAGGUCACUUAUGGGUUGUUUUAUCUCUACUGCAAUGUGGAAGAGAAUUAAAUUCCUUGGGGAUAAAUGAAGCCAUUAUUUAUGGAGGGAACGAGUGAAAUAGAGCAAGCUGCCAUACUAGAGAGAGUCCAUCCUAGUAUUCCAGCUAAUUUGAAAACAUGUCUCAUGCACAUCAGAACACAUCAGAACACAUCAGAUAGAGCUUUGGUAACUGAUUACACAAACACAACACUGAAAUGCCCAAACAAACAGGAAAAAGAGGGUAAUGAUUGGGAUGCAAUAGAGGAAGAAAUUUACUACAUUUCUCACAGUUGCUGGUCAUACUUUUUGGAAGUGCAAUGGUGAAAAACCACCAC